rnacentral:rRNA from 1 species
AAGGAUCAUUACCGAGAGCUUGGGGUCUAACCGGCCCCUCUCUUCACCCGUGUCUACAAAAACAAAUGUUGCUUUGGCGGGCCAGGGCCCCGUCCCUGGAUGGGCUUAACCUUCCCACCCGGUGCCCGCCGAAGGUACAACCAAACUCUGUUAUCAGUGUCGUCCGAGUAUACACAUAAUAAACUAAAACUUUCAACAACGGAUCUCUUGGUUCCCGCAUCGAUGAAGAACGCAGCGAAAUGCGAAAAUUAAUGUGAAUUGCAGAAUUCCGUGAAUCAUCGAGUCUUUGAACGCACAUUGCGCCCUUUGGUAUUCCGAAGGGCAUGCCUGUUCGAGCGUCAUUGCACCUCUCAAGCAUUGCUUGGUAUUGGGCCGCGCCCCCGUGGCGUGCCUGGAAUUCAGUGGCGGUCCAGCGAGACUUCAAGCGUAGCAAGAUUUCACGAUCCCGCUUUGGAAGGUUCCUGCUGUGUGCCGGCCAGACAACCCCAUUAUUUAUCAAUGGUUGACCUCGGAUCAGGUAGGGAUACCCGCUGAACUUAA